CAACUCUGUAUACCAUUUCUUUUCCUACUCUUCUGUUGGUUGAUUUGUUCAUUAAAUAUUGCACUUUAUUCUUUUAUUGACAGCUUUUGAAUUUAUAUGUUAAGGCCAUUUUCUCCAGAAGGUUGUGAUGAUUCUUGGACCCGGGUUUUGCUAUGAAAGGAAAGCGGCUAUUUUCUUGACGACGAGGCAAUCUUGGAUUUGGCAUUCUUGGCUGUUUGUGGGACUCCGUUUAAUUUGGUUCUGGUGGUUAUGUUCUAUAUUGUUUCGAUGUGCUCUCUCUCCCUCUUUUCAAUUGUUAAUGUUCUGGCUUGUGAAAUGAUCUCUGACAUGCUAAAUUCAUGGGAAAUCCUAAACCAUUAAGCUUAAAAGGUUGCUAUUUAGGAUUUCUCCGGAGGCUUAUUUCGUUAAAUGCUAAGACUAGUUCUCUGGUUCUUCAUAUAAAGAGUUUGGAUUAUUUUAUUGCUUCUAUAUCUCUCAUCCUACUUGGUUGUUGUGCAUAAAUUUGUGCUGGUUGUUGUUUCGGUUGGCUGCCAUUGCUUGCUCCAUUUGAUGACAUGUGAAUGAUGGUCAUCAAGUUCUGGGCAAACUUUUUUUGGGUCUGUUAGUCUUGGUGAUGCAAUUGGUUGUCCACCC
rnacentral:lncRNA from 1 species